AGAGUUUGAUCCUGGCUCAGAACGAACGCUGGCGGCGUGGAUAAGACAUGCAAGUCGAACGCAAUACAGGCUGUAGCAAUACAGCUUGUGUUGAGUGGCGCAAGGGUGCGUAACACGUGGGUAAUUUGCCGUGAAGUUGGGGAUAACUCGCUGAAAGGCGAGCUAAUACCGGAUGUGACUAUUGGGAGGCAUCUUCUGAUGGUUGAAGCUGGGGAUCGAAAGACCUGGCGCUUCACGAUAAGCCCGCGGCCUAUCAGCUAGUUGGUGAGGUAACGGCUCACCAAGGCAAAGACGGGUAGCUGGUCUGAGAGGACGACCAGCCACACUGGAACUGAGACACGGUCCAGACACCUACGGGUGGCAGCAGUCGAGAAUUUUUCUCAAUGGGCGCAAGCCUGAAGGAGCGACGCCGCGUGGGGGAUGAAGGGUUUCGAUCCGUAAACCCCUGUCAUUUGUGAACAAUGUCUAUUAUUUAAAAGAUGAUGGAUUGAUAGUAGCGAAAGAGGAAGGGACGGCUAACUCUGUGCCAGCAGCCGCGGUAAUACAGAGGUCCCGAGCGUUGUUCGGAUUCACUGGGCGUAAAGGGUGCGUAGGUGGUGAUGUAAGUUUGAUGUGAAAUCUCCGGGCUUAACCCGGAAAAUGCAUUGAAUACUACGUUGCUGGAGGAUUGGAGGGGGGACUGGAAUUCUCGGUGUAGCAGUGAAAUGCGUAGAUAUCGAGAGGAACACCAGUGGCGAAGGCGAGUCCCUGGACAAUACCUGACACUGAGGCACGAAAG
rnacentral:rRNA from 1 species